rnacentral:rRNA from 1 species
AACGAACGCUGGCGGCAUGCCUAACACAUGCAAGUCGAACGAGACCUUCGGGUCUAGUGGCGCACGGGUGCGUAACGCGUGGGAACCUGCCCUUAGGUUCGGAAUAACUCCCCGAAAGGGGUCCAAUACCCGGUAAUUUCCUUGGACCAAAGGAUUUAUCGCCUUUGGAUGGGCCCGCGUUGGAUUAGCUAGUUGGUAGGGUAAAAGCCUACCAAGGCGACGAUCCAUAGCUGGUCUGAGAGGAUGAUCAGCCACACUGGGACUGAGACACGGCCCAGACUCCUACGGGAGGCAGCAGUGGGGAAUAUUGGACAAUGGGCGAAAGCCUGAUCCAGCAAUGCCGCGUGAGUGAUGAAGGCCUUAGGGUUGUAAAGCUCUUUUACCCGGGAUGAUAAUGACAGUACCGGGAGAAUAAGCUCCGGCUAACUCCGUG